rnacentral:lncRNA from 1 species
CUUCCUUAGGUGGUUUUUUUCUCGCAUAUCUCUGAAAAAGAGAGGCCAGCAUCUUCCUUGCUCUCCUCGCUGCCACAUCCCAUCGAUCUCUGCUAUCACUUUCGUCCCCAUCAUCACCGUUGUCAAAUUUCUCCUCUGAUCUCCCUCAGGUGUUUUACCUCCUAAAUCCGGCAAAGAUCCACAGUGGAUCCAUAUUUUUUCCUCUCCUCCGUAAUCUUCAUAUCCACUAC